AUUAAAGAGAGUUUGAUCCUGGCUCAGGACGAACGCUGGCGGCGUGCCUAAUACAUGCAAGUAGAACGCUGAGAACUGGUGCUUGCACCGGUUCAAGGAGUUGCGAACGGGUGAGUAACGCGUAGGUAACCUACCUCAUAGCGGGGGAUAACUAUUGGAAACGAUAGCUAAUACCGCAUAAGAGAGACUAACGC
rnacentral:rRNA from 1 species